GGGCUUGACAUCCCACGAAUCCCACCGAAAGGUGGGAGUGCCCGCAAGGGAGCGCGGAGACAGGUGGUGCAUGGCUGUCGUCAGCUCGUGUCGUGAGAUGUUGGGUUAAGUCCCGCAACGAGCGCAACCCUCACCUCUUGUUGCCACCAGGUCAUGCUGGGCACUCUAGAGGAACUGCCCCGGUCAACGGGGAGGAAGGCGGGGAUGACGUCAAGUCAUCAUGCCCCUUACGUCCUGGGCUACACACGUGCUACAAUGGCCGGUACAAAGGGAUGCCACACCGCGAGGUAGAGCUAAACCCAAAAAGCCGGUCUAAGUUCAGAUUGGAGUCUGCAACUCGACUCCAUGAAGGAGGAAUCGCUAGUAAUCGCGUAUCAGCACGACGCGGUGAAUACGUUCCCGGGCCUUGUACACACCGCCCGUCACACCACGAAAGCCCGUUGUACUCGAAGUCGCUGAG
rnacentral:rRNA from 1 species